rnacentral:rRNA from 1 species
GGGGAAACCCAGGCUAAUACCGCAUACGUCYUACGGGAGAAAGGGGGCUUCGGCUCCCGCUAUUGGAUGAGCCUAUGUCGGAUUAGCUAGUUGGUGAGGUAAUGGCUCACCAAGGCAACGAUCCGUAGCUGGUCUGAGAGGAUGAUCAGCCACAUCGGGACUGAGACACGGCCCGAACUCCUACGGGAGGCAGCAGUGGGGAAUAUUGGACAAUGGGGGCAACCCUGAUCCAGCCAUGCCGCGUGUGUGAAGAAGGCCCUCGGGUUGUAAAGCACUUUCAGCGAGGAAGAACGCCUAUCGGUUAAUACCCGGUAGGAAAGACAUCACUCGCAGAAGAAGCACCGGCUAACUCCGUGCCAGCAGCCGCGGUAAUACGGAGGGUGCAAGCGUUAAUCGGAAUUACUGGGCGUAAAGCGCGCGUAGGUGGCUUGAUAAGCCGGUUGUGAAAGCCCCGGGCUCAACCUGGGAACGGCAUCCGGGACUGUCAGGCUAGAGUGCAGGAGAGGAAGGUAGAAUUCCCGGUGUAGCGGUGAAAUGCGUAGAGAUCGGGAGGAAUACCAGUGGCGAAGGCGGCCUUCUGGACUGACACUGACACUGAGGUGCGAAAGCGUGGGUAGCAAACAGGAUUAGAUACCCUGGUAGUCCACGCCGUAAACGAUGUCGACCAGCCGUUGGGUGCCUAGAGCACUUUGUGGCGAAGUUAACGCGAUAAGUCGACCGCCUGGGAGUACGGCCGCAAGGUUAAAACUCAAAUGAAUUGACGGGGGCCCGCACAAGCGGUGGAGCAUGUGGUUUAAUUCGAUGCAACGCGAAGAACCUUACCUACCCUUGACAUCUACAGAAGCCGGAAGAGAUUCUGGUGUGCCUUCGGGAACUGUAAGACAGGUGCUGCAUGGCUGUCGUCAGCUCGUGUUGUGAAAUGUUGGGUUAAGUCCCGUAACGAGCGCAACCCUUGUCCUUAUUUGCCAGCGAGUAAUGUCGGGAACUCUAAGGAGACUGCCGGUGACAAACCGGAGGAAGGUGGGGACGACGUCAAGUCAUCAUGGCCCUUACGGGUAGGGCUACACACGUGCUACAAUGGCCGGUACAAAGGGCUGCGAGCUCGCGAGAGUCAGCGAAUCCCUUAAAGCCGGUCUCAGUCCGGAUCGGAGUCUGCAACUCGACUCCGUGAAGUCGGAAUCGCUAGUAAUCGUGAAUCAGAAUGUCACGGUGAAUACGUUCCCGGGCCUUGUACACACCGCC